rnacentral:rRNA from 1 species
GACGAACGCUGGCGGCGUGCUUAACACAUGCAAGUCGAACGGAAAGGCCCUGCUUUUGUGGGGUGCUCGAGUGGCGAACGGGUGAGUAACACGUGAGUAACCUGCCCUUGACUUUGGGAUAACUUCAGGAAACUGGGGCUAAUACCGGAUAGGAGCUCCUGCUGCAUGGUGGGGGUUGGAAAGUUUCGGCGGUUGGGGAUGGAAUCGCGGCUUAUCAGCUUGUUGGUGGGGUAGUGGCUUACCAAGGCUUUGACGGGUAGCCGGCCUGAGAGGGUGACCGGCCACAUUGGGACUGAGAUACGGCCCAGACUCCUACGGGAGGCAGCAGUGGGGAAUAUUGCACAAUGGGCGGAAGCCUGAUGCGGCAACGCCGCGUGCGGGAUGACGGCCUUCGGGUUGUAAACCGCUUUCGCCUGUGACGAAGCGUGAGUGACGGUAAUGGGUAAAGAAGCACCGGCUAACUACGUG